rnacentral:tRNA from 1 species
GCGGGUGUGGCGGAACUGGUAGACGCAGCACACCCACAAUGUGCGGGGCGGGAGCCCGUGGGAGUUCGAGUCUCCCCUCCCGCA